rnacentral:rRNA from 1 species
GAUGAACGCUAGCUACAGGCUUAGCACAUGCAAGUCGAGGGGAAACGAUAUUGGAAGCUUGCUUCCGAUAGGCGUCGACCGGCGCACGGGUGAGUAACGCGUAUCCAACCUGCCCAUCACUUGGGAAUAACCUUGCGAAAGUAAGACUAAUGCCCAAUGACAUUUAUAGAAGGCAUCUGAAAUGAAUUAAAGAUUUAUCGGUGAUGGAUGGGGAUGCGUCUGAUUAGCUUGUUGGCGGGGUAACGGCCCACCAAGGCGACGAUCAGUAGGGGUUCUGAGAGGAAGGUCCCCCACAUUGGAACUGAGACACGGUCCAAACUCCUACGGGAGGCAGCAGUGAGGAAUAUUGGUCAAUGGGCGAGAGCCUGAACCAGCCAAGUAGCGUGCAGGGAUGACGGUCCUACGGAUUGUAAACCUCUUUUGUCGGGGAGUAACGUGCGGGACGCGUCCCGUAUUGAGAGUACCCGAAGAAAAAGCAUCGGCUAACUCCGUGCCAGCAGCCGCGGU